AACCCGGUACCCUGAGGAGGACUGGCCGAGCCUGCCCCGAGCCCAGUACCCUGAGGAGGAGUCGAGCCCUCCCGUGCACCCGUCUCCUGAGGAGCUGAUGCUGGUGGACCCCCCUGCCGAAGCCACGACAACACAGAAGCCCGAGGUGGGAGUUCGAGGAGCCCUGUAUUGAUGGAAAUGAGUCUCUUGGUCCAAGCUCUGCAGUUUCCCUGACAGCAUGAAUCCAUUUCUGAUGGAUCAGGUGGGAGAGAGAAGUACAGGAAAGGUUCUGAAGAUUUAUUUGGAGUAGGGGAUGGAGAUACAGUGCCUGUUUAUUGAGUGUUUGAGGCCCCAAUCCUGCAACUGACUGUGUGAGCGUAGGGGUCUGUUUGUAUGGAGUCAACUGUAGAACUGGAGGUCAAAUCUUCUUACAAGAUGGACUUACUAUGUGGGCUUCUUUUUACAGAGUUUUAGGUUAUUUUGUUCUGCAACAUUCAUUAACCAGGAAAAAAGUCUACAAGCUGAAAUGAAGAGAGAACAUUACAGGAUGAAGACCCUCCUUCUUUCAAUCGCUGAAUGUAGAUAGAUGCAAUGAAAGGA